UACGAAGGGGGCUAGCGUUGCUCGGAAUCACUGGGCGUAAAGCGCACGUAGGCGGAUCUUUAAGUCAGGGGUGAAAUCCUGGAGCUCAACUCCAGAACUGCCUUUGAUACUGGGGAUCUCGAGUCCGGGAGAGGUGAGUGGAAUUCCGAGUGUAGAGGUGAAAUUCGUAGAUAUUCGGAGGAACACCAGUGGCGAAGGCGGCUCACUGGUCCGGUACUGACGCUGAGGUGCGAAAGCGUGGGGAGCAAACAGG
rnacentral:rRNA from 1 species